CAAGGGUUCAGGGGAUCUCGUAGUCGAGUAGUCUCGACUAGAGCUUUCUUACUUGUUACAUUUUUAAUUCUUAUAAUUAUUCCAGCCAAGCGAAUGAUUUCAAAUUUUCAGGUAACACGGCUAAAUAUCAUACUAACAAAAUAAAAUUAAGAUCUUAAACAUCCAUAGAGUAGAAGCAAAAAUAUAGACUCUUGAAGUUGCAAGAUUGAGUUCGUGUUACAGUUUUGCUCGUCAUGUACUGCACAACUUUGUGCACUUGAUGUUUUAAAAAAUGCAGAAAUUAAAAGCUAUUUACUUCAAUGUCGCAACAUAACGAAAUACAUUCAUAAGUUAUCAAAUGGUUAUCGUGAGGUAUUUGACUUUCGUAAACUAAAACUGCCUCAAUUGGAUUGUCCCACAAGAUGGGGAUCAACAUAUAAAAUGAUCGAUCGACUGAACAUAGCAAAGGACGUUUUGUGUAACAUUGAAGCAAUCGAAAAUAAAACGGAUGAUGAAAAUUUCGACGCUAGCUCUUUGUUGUGGGAGUUUAUAGAUUGCUACACCUGUAUAAUGAAUCCACUGCAAAAAACUAUUGUAAGAUUCCAAGAAGAGCAAUUGCACUUCGGCAAUUUUUACGCUUUGUGGCUCACAUGUAAGCUGACUACAAAUCAAAUUUUAUUAUCACGGUCAGACGGCGAACAUUCAAUUAGUUUUAAAAUUAGUAUUAGAUACUCGAACGGAAAAACUUAUAUCGAAUGUGGGAUUUGAUGCAUGACUAUACUUAGAUCCGAGGUUCCAACAAAUUCUCUCCGGGGCUCAGAAAAAAAAUGCUGUACACUUCUUGAAGACUUUAUGGGAUAAAAUUAAAACCAAUAACCCGAAACUUAAUUCCAAAAUCGAAACACUGAAGCUUCCUUACAUGAAAGCAAAUGUUAAUGUAUUGAAAUUCUGGAGAGAAAGAAAGUCGACUGAUCCUGAACUGUAUGCACUGAGCAAAGUAUGCUUCGCCAUUCCGCCAACACAAGUCACAAUAGAACGACAAUCGGAAUAGGUUAAACCACGACACUUUGGAAAAUAUUUUACUUGUCAGACUAAACUCAUCCCAUUUAGACGGUGCCAUCGACAGCUUCCCUUCAUUUGAAGACGAGGAAAACAAUCAGAAUUAGAAAUACAAAUUACUGCUUGUUUGAAAUUUAUUUUUUUUUUUUAAAUGCUUGAAUCGUAUAUAUUUUAUAGCACAAUGUGAAAAUAAAUGAAUUCUUAUAAUUUGAAAUUAACGUCUUAAAGGGCAAUAUUUCGUACACAGCUGCUAUGGAAGCAAAUACCCAGUGGCGACGACCUGAAUGAGGUCUGUUGAAAUAAUGCAAUACAUACGACAAAAAAGUAAUGCAUUACCUAUGAACAUUUUUUUCAGCGCAUUUGUAAUGUACAAAAUAAAAAGUGCUACUCAUACGACAGAAUCGAGCUCUUGUCAACUUCGUUACUGUAUGCCCCUUCCCCGCUAACCAACAAACGAUUUUCGUCUUUCGUUGCGUCGCGACGAAAUCGCCGAAUUUCGUUUUGGACUUUACCGUUUUUUGCAUGGAAUGCGUGCCUUCUUUCGUUUGGUUUUUUUGUCUAUGCCUAUUCCUUUUGUGUGUAUAGUGUUAAUGAGUGUAAAUACAAGUUCAAAAAUGCAUAUGUGUGAUGAUUUCUGUUUUCGUUUUACCCGCCGCGGCGCGUCACUUUUCUGCUAUUGUUGAGCCGUGCGGACGUAAAUUUAAAGGGAAGUAUCUGAUGCUAUAAAAACCGAAGGGUCCACUAAGAAGACCUAUAUAAGUACAAUAAGAAACUGCUUUCGCGUCCAGAAAGGUCGACUGGCAAAUCAGAAGUUCGAUAAUAAGGACAAACUAGAUAAUAAGACAUAGCUUUAGAUUUAGAUGUAGAUAGAUAUAAUAAAAUAGUAAUAAUACAUAGUUUAAGACUAUACAUUUAUUUAUAGAU